rnacentral:rRNA from 1 species
ACAGCAGUCGCCGCGGGAAUACGUAGGUCCCGAGCGUUGUCCGGAUUUGUUGGGCGUAAAGCGAGCGCAGGCGGUUAGAUAAGUCUGAAGUUAAAGGCUGUGGCUUAACCAUAGUACGCUUUGGAAACUGUUUAACUUGAGUGUAGAAGGGGAGAGUGGAAUUCCAUGUGUAGCUGUGAAAUGCGUAGAUAUAUGGAGGAACACCGGUGGCGAAAGCGGCUCUCUGGUCUGUAACUGACGCUGAGGCUCGAAAGCGUGGGUAGCGAACAGGAUUAGAUACCCGCGUAGUCCCUGUCUCUUAUACC